rnacentral:rRNA from 1 species
GUUGGUGAUAGAAGCGGUAGGGGUACACCCGGCUCCAUCUCGAACCCGGUAGUUAAGCCUGCCAGCGCCGAUGGUAGUAUGUGGGCAACUGCAUGCGAGAGUAGGUCAUCGCCAACA